CCGGGAGCGUGAGGUCUAGGGGUGUUUUCCCAGCAGAGUUGCUGUUGGCAGGACGGCCGGCCACAGCCACGCUGCCAUGCUGGGCGUGGGGUGCUGACCCGCAGGACGGGCUAGGAGCCCCCCAGUGCAGGAGCCCGGCAAGAUGGGGCGGGCCACUGGCGGGCGCAGGAGUGCGGGAGGCUGGGGGCCGAGGCCAGAGGCUCCCUGGGUUAUGUCACCAUCGCUGACGACACUGAAAGGAGGCCACACGGCUGGCGGGCGGGCCGGCGACGUGCCCACGUCAGGGACGAGGAGCCCCCGGGGUGGGCCACCGAGCGUCCGGGAAGUGGGCGGCGAUGAGGCCGAGCAUAGGACGCAGGAAGGCAGCUCGGGCCGGGUCUGCACCAAACGAGCACGGGGCCAGCCUUCCCCGGUCUGCCGGUGGGGUUGUGCCAGGACACACUCGACGGAGCCCUCCACAUGGCCGGCCCCCGGGGUCGGUGCCGCCGGGUGCAGGCCGGGCUCGCUGGCACGGGGCCCCAGCCCAGGAAGGAGGGCUAAAACCCCGCCAAGGCUGGAGGCUGGAGCAGCCAGAGCUUCCGGAGAAACACCAGCCGAGGCUGGAGGCUGGGGAUGAUCUCAGAGCGUGGGUGGCCCUGCCUGCAGCACAGCGGAGGCCGUCAUCUGACAGACGAGGACGGAGGGAAGUGGUAAGACCGCUCAGGGGCCAGAACAAGGGCUGCGUGGCCGACACGGGGAAGAGGGACACAGCAGGAGCUCCGGGGGAGGCGUGCGACCCCGCCGAGCCCAGGGAGAGAAGGCCACCGCGUGGGCCUCCGGGACAGAGUGGAACUCUUCGACAGCUCGCCGUGGCACUGUUGGUCCACUCUGCCUCCAGCUAGGCUGUUGCCCGGCCUGUGAGCUCACGGAGCUUCACCCACACGGACGCCGCUCUCCCCUCGAGGGGCGAUGGUCUCGCAGCCGGGCCGAGUUCUAGAAAGCACAGUCGGCCCAACAGACAGCGCUUCAGCCUUCUCUCACUCACUGCCCACGCCACCGGCAUUGUCCUCCCCAAACAAAGACGGCAUCGGCCACGCUGAAGACGGUUUGAUGAAGGCUCCGUCACUCUGUCUUCUUUACAGCCCGAGGGAUACGGUUCUCCGGCUUGGGGAGGGCAGUCCAUCGGGAGUCUUCGACUCUUGCUCGAGAGGCUGCCUGUGUACUUCCCGCUGGGAAGGCGCGACAGCAGCACGGUGCACGCGCGGUAUGGUGCACGCGCAGGGAAGUUGCUGGUGUUCAAUUUUGAAUAAACGGCCUUGAUACGUGCGAACUGUGACUCUGUGCGCGCCCUGCUCUCGAGCCGGAGACGGCCGGAGACAUCACUCGGGCUACACGUUACCUCACACACUGCCUGACUCCGCUUUAUUUAUUCCCGCAGCGUGUCAGAUCUUGGCACUCUCUGGCACGAACGAGCCCCGGCACGUACACUGUUCGUGCCGACGCAGGAGUCGGGAGGGAAUAUUUAACAUUGUUCUCCAGAAGCGGAGUGGCUGCGUCUCUUGAAGCUCUUCAUUCCAGAAGAGGAUGCUCGGGGAGAGCUUGCUCUAAACCCGCCCGCGUGCGAGCGGUGGGGGGAUUCCAAGAUGAACCUACUGACUAGUGGCAUCAGCACAAUUUAAGCAUCUCUGCUGAAUGUUGUACCCAAGGUCAACCCCUGAAUCAAGGUCACUUGGGACUCAAGCCAAGACCUCCUAUUCUCUUUCCGUUGCUAUGAGACUAAGAUAAAAAGUCAUGAAUUCUGUCUGAGCCUUAAGGCUUGUCAUUCCCCCAAAGUAUCAAAAGUGUGCUUAUCAGAUUACAAACAACGAACAUGCUGAGAUUGUAAACACCGAAAAGAGUGGACUUCCUCAAAUACUUUCAGUGAUGUCAUCUGGCCCUUCUUCCAUAUCCGCUUUCAUUAUGCUCCUGUCCUUUCAAAACAGAGUUCGUGCCACGGGCCAACAAAGGCCAGGAAGUGUCAGGACUAUGGCAGGGGUUCGGACCUGGAAACCAGGACAGACUGAUAACGGACAAGCACCUCCGGAGAAGGAAGGGGUCCGCUCCGACACGGCGGUCCGGCGGGCGAGGUCACCGUCGAACACUCUGGCCCACUGCUUGGAGGGUGAGCUGCCCAGUGGCUUUCAUCAGCGGACAGGCACACCCCCUGGCACGUCUGCCAGAGCCAGCCACCGUCACACGCGCAGGCACCGGGGCCCAGAGGUGAGCAGGAUGGCCCCCAGCUCACCGGGCUCCACGGUGAACAUUUAACAACACGACACAAGCUAUGAUGUGAUACACACCAAGGAGCCUGAACAAGUGGGAAUUGAUUCUUAUCCAAAUUAUCGUGUUUUUCGCUUGAAUUUCGAUUGCUUAUCUGCAUUGUUUGAAUGAACUUGCCUCACUGAUUUCAAGCACAUUUCCAGGCCCUUACCGGUGCCAGUGUGGGCUGCCCAUGUGGGCUGAUGCUCUCUGGAGUCUGUCCCGUGCCCACCUUCACAAGGACCGGACCCUCGACAGACCCCCCCCCCCCCGCCCCCGGGGGCUGGAGUCAGGGACACGGAGCCUCGGGUGGGGGUGGGGGUGGAGGGCGGAGGGAGGCAGGCAUCAUGGCGUCUGGGUCCGAGCCGGAGGCCCAGCGUGCCAGGGUUUCCCUCCCGGCAAACACACGUGAAGCAGAGAGCUGUGCUUCCUCCCCGUGUCGUCAGGUUUCAGAGCUUCCUUCCGCCAACACGCCGCCCUCGGGAGCUCGGGCUCCCGCACUGACCGUCAACAGUCAGGCCCCAUGCAGAGGGCAGCCAUUCCCCCCACCGGCUCCCCAAGUCUUUGCCCUUAGUAGACCACGCUGCUCUCCCCGAUAGCCGCCCAUAAACGUCUCCCAGGUUCAGGAAGGGAUACGGCCCUUUGAAGUCCCAUCCAGGGGUGCCCCUAAGGUCACUGAGCAGAGCACAGCAAGAGGCAGGCCUGGAGAUGAUGGCGGGAGGCGCGGCGCUGCGUGCACCCCCGCCGGCCUGGAAGCGGAGGCUGGAGUUCGCCUCGACACGCUUCACAGUCAAGGGCAGCGUGACCCUGACACUCUUUUAAAUAUUCUCUGCUCAUUGACAAUUCUUGGACUUCAAAACAGACUCAUGAUUACAGGCGUGCUCCGCGUUCUCCCAGAAUGUGCUCACGGGACCGGACUUGUAGGCCCCUGGACCGUCCCUCAGAAGAUGCCGCUCACGGAACUCAGACAGUGACGCCACGAUGAGGGCUGGGGGGAGGUGCGCAGACCUGGACGUCCAGCGGCAGACUCAUGGCGCUGACCGCGACCCCAUGUCUCAUUCCUCUUUAUCUCUGCUCUUUCUUUCACGUCUUUGGACAGGGUUGAUUUGCUGGAUUCGGAAGGCGGCAUAUAGGAGGGCCGUGGGGGGAUCUGGGGUUGGGCAGAGUCAUGUCUUCAGGCUGGACGGCUGCGGCACUGGCCUCGGAAUAGAGGUUCUCCGACAUUAAACCACGGUGGCCGUUUAUGCCCCGUGUUCCCUUUUCAGCCACCCCCGAGGACUCGAGCUGUGCUUACGGCACAACGACCACCAGACAGACGCAUCAAGAGCGCCAGUGCUCCGGACCGAGUCAGUCGAGUUCCCACCAAAGCAAAGAGAUCCGACGUGUCACCAACCCGCACGGCCUCACCGUACGUCGGUGCUCCGUUUCUGGAAUGUUUUCAAACACUGCAGACCACCUGACUUCAGGUAACCUGGAGUAGCACACCCCGAGGGCCCCCACGAUGUCCUUCUACCUGGUCUAUUGAGCACCUGUUACGGCGCCAAGUCCAAGACUCAAACUCCCAGAACUGGAAACGGCUGACGGGCACGUAUUCACUCCAUGUGCCCCAGCCUUGUUUGACUGAAGACCCACUCAGGACUGCAUUUUUUGUUUCCGAGUCUUCAGCGUACGGUGUGAUGCUGCAGGACGCUGAGGGCCGGCGGCUUCCCUCCUGCACGGUCUGGAGUAGCUGCGCGAGCCUCCAGGCGCAGGGGGCCCGGUCCUGCCUGUGUGUCUCAUGAGGACCCUGGACGCUCCCCAGACCUCAGGAAAUUCCCCACAAUUAAGCACUACCGUGCUACCCCCUGGAGUGCCUGACUACAUUUAGACGCCCUCCUCCUCCGGGAAGCCUCGCCAGGCCCGUCAGCGUGGUAACAGGCUGCCUCUCCUGCGUCCCCCUCGGGUGACUGAAUAUGGUCCUCUUUUUUGUAAACAAUGAUUCUCUGCAGAAGAGUAGAAGAAAAAAUCCCCAAUCUCUGACCCACUUGAACGCAGUCUCUGAGCUGUCUUUGUGCCCCCUGGAUGCUCCUGCAAAGAAAAGGCGGGUGAGAAGCGGCCGCGUGGUCUCCACCAGCAGCGUCAGGGAAGGAGGGUGGCAGGCCUCGGCUAUGGUCUGUGCAAGACUCAUCCGGCCAGGCCCGUGUCGCUGCCUAGAGGCCGACCCCAUUUUCUUCCUUUGAUGGGGGCAUGCACUCUUCCAAAAAUUGUCUUGCAGAUAUUUAAAAUAACAAAACAAAGCCCUAAACAAGAAAACCCAACUUCUCCCUCAAAGCACAGCGUGAUGUCCCAGCUAGCACACAGCAGCCUGGGGCUCCUUGCUGGCUGGGCCAGCCCUGGGGAAGGACGGGGAGGCCACCAGAUGUCUCCUUGGAUCUUGACUUCAGGGGACAGCAAACACAAGGCUGUCUUCGUCUCGUGGCCAUCAGGCUAGCGGGCAGGAAGGCAAAUCACUCCUCUCUGCACCGGCAAGCACGUGGGUGUCCUUGGCUACUCGGCACCUGCCCCUCACCAUCCAGACGGGCCCCCCCCUGGUCUCAGCUUUGGCUUCUGAGCAGAGGCCUGUCCUUGCCAUCCACGGGUGCAGGCAGCCCCUCCAGGGGAAACCUCUGACCAACCCAGGCCAGCCCUUCACGCCUCCUCGCUGGUCUUCGUGUACGAGCGCCUCGUCUCAGCAGCUGUGUUCUCAGGCCCUCCCUGGCCGGCCUCUCUCACGUACGCACACACACCACCGCCCUCCAGCCCCCGCCUCCACCAGCUCACGCUAACAGGUGCCCGCUGGUGCCUUCCCGAGGCUCUCAGCUGGAGUCCCUCCUGGGGACUAUGUGUCCCGCCUUCACUGCCUGAAUAGUCUUUCCUCCCUUAAAUUCUGAAACAUUCUUUUUUCUCUAAUUAUUAGAAUCAACGAGCGAAGUGUUUAUAAACUUAAAAAUGUGUACAGAGUUGAUUCAAUAAGGGUUCAUGAAAAGAUCUAACUUAAAAAUUAGCUCCGGAUAUACAUGAGCCACAGACAGCCCUUAGACUACAUCUGAAACUAAUGACGUACUAUAUGUUGGCUAAUUAAUUAAAAGAACAAAACCCAGCCCUUACAGUGCUAGAUGGCCCAUCUGGACGUCUUUUUGCCUGUGGUUCUGAAGUAAAACCAUGCGGUCGGCUUCCCUACACAGCAAAGCAGCAAGAACGGUCACUUCUAAGGUGCUGGUAUCGUGCUGCUGACUUUCCAAGUGCUUUCGUUUGAAUCGGCCACGUUGAGUCACAUGUGUGAGUACCAAAGCUUUAUUUUUAACAGUUGAAGUGUUUGCUUUAUCCUGAACUGUCCUGAAAAAUGUCUUGGGGACACGGAAGCCCAUGGCAAAGCGCAGGAACGUUCUGGAACACAAGCAUUUCAAAUUCUCUCAAACACACAGCAACGCUUGUGUUAGAGGCCCACGGUGGUCAGUCACAUGGGGGCGGGAGGGGUCUAGGACCUGGAGGGUGUGGCUCGGUGCAGAAUGUCAAUGGCCUUGGCUGCCCAAGCACCAGGGCUUGCCUCUCAUGCCUGGAGAAUUCCGAGGUGAACCACUCUGACUGCCGUAAACGGGUUUGCCUCCCGACCGCAAUCCACUUCCCUUUCAGCUGCCUGCCCUGGUGCUCCCGCCUGCUGUCCUCCUGGCAUGGGGCCGGUGGCCGGCUCCCGGCCAGGACCGAUGUAGCUGGACCACUGUCCAGGCCUGUCUGGCAUGCUUGGCUCCACUGCCCAACAGCUGGGGGCCCCCACCAGCUCUUUUUGGUUGGGACACCCUCUUUUAAAUGUUAUUUUUAUGAUUCCAAAUCACAGAGCAGCGUCUUCUGCCCCAGACCUGGGAUCUGCAAUGGUCAGCUCACAGUGCCCAUGUCACAUCCAGGUCUACGAAAUCAGAAGCUCCCGGGCUGCGUUAUCACCCAGUGAAAAAGUGCACAUGCAUGCGCCUCGAGCGGACGGUACAGUCCUGGAUGGACAGCAUACGGAAGCGCCCGAUGUACGUCACCAAGAGACACAGGUCAGGUCUGGGUCCCCUCGGUUGCCCUUGGCCCCUAGAAAAGUCACUGCUGACCCCUGCCAGGAUCCAGCACCUCUGGGAGCGUGUGACAGAACCCGUGCAGGAGCCCAGGCGAACGUCCAGGGCAGGCACAUGCCGCCACCUGGGAAGUGACCUUCUGAGAAGCCAGUCGGCGGCAGGACGCGGAUACCUUCCCGACCACUGCUCAGGGAGAAGACAACGGGCCCUCACGUGAGGUGUCCGGAGCUCUGCCUGCCGAGACUCAGAGUUGUAGGCAGGCGGUGCUCAGGGUCAAGGUUCUGUGUAUAAAAUGUUCACCCGCCCCCCCCCCUCCCCUGGAAGGAAGCUCGUGGGUCAGCUGUUUGCAGGUGACGCUGUGGUGACCCCCAGGUCCCGCCUCCCGUAUUGCCCCAGCAAAGUCCGAGACACCUGACAGGGGACCCAUUUUCCCCAGUAAAGUGCCUUUGACUCUUUCCUCUCAACACAGUUCUGUGUCGAUGAAACAGGCCCAUCUGGCCGGCCGGCGGUGGGAGCGGAAGUAAGGCCCCGGGAGGCCGGGGACCAGCCCGGCUUCUCUGCGGCCCUCCGAAAUGCAUUUCAUUUUAAGGACCCUAUAAAAACCUACUGUUCAACUUCAUUUCGAUAUUCAGGCCCCAUUUUUUUCUGAAUUCAUCUGUUUUCAUGAAUAGUGCUAUUAUUCUUGACAAAGGCAGCAACAUUAAGAUCCUGCGUUGUUCAUAAGAGACCAGUUAUGCCUGAGACACACAAUCAGACAUGUCAUCAAACACAGUCCUUAGAAUAUUUUCCAGGAAAAGAGGAA